CGAGAGAAAAAGCAGAGAGAAAGAACAACUUGUCAGAUGGAGAUUGAUUCCUGUCUUUUCAUAAAGACAGCCGUGGUGUAGAACUUCAUCUCUGGGUUCUUCUGUGCUACAUAUAAAAGACUGCCACACAUGCAUACUGUCGCUUUGGAUAAGAGUCUUCAUAUUGUCACAUUUUAUUAUUUUUCUACACCUCAUGUGAGACCUCAAAUGUUCCUGCAUGGAUAUUUGACAGUAGCUAUGGGCUGCCUGCGCAUUGUGAGAAGACGGAACAAAAUAAAAAGCGUGUCUAAAUCGGACAGACCUCCCUCUCCGCCUCGUGUCAUUGGAGGCCAGCCGGCUUAUACCGUCCACCGGAUACUGGAUUCCCGCCGGGUGCAGCGGUCCUGGCAGUAUCUGGUGGACUGGGAAGGCUACGGUCCUGAGGAGCGCUCCUGGGUUCCUGCCAAAGACAUCCUGGACCCUGACCUCAUUCGUCAGUUCAGGGUCCUCCACCCUGAGAGAGCUGGUAGGAACGUCAGGAGCCGUUCCUAGGGGGGAUUCUGUCAGGAUUUGGCCAGGGUUGUUCCGGGUUUUGGUCAGUAGAUGUCCCCAUUGUGCUUUUUGUCCCUAUGUUUUUCCCUUGAUCCCCAUUAUUAUUUGCACCUGUGUCUCGU